GGUGAUGUGAUGCUGGUUCAGCCAAGGGGGGCCGGUCGGCGCGAAGGACCGGCGGCCGAAGCGCCUCCGCCGACCGGCUUUCUCAGAAGGCCAGAGGUCGGGGAGGAGGGAGAAAUCGGAGGGGGUCAAGUACGAGGCGAGAGGGAUUCGGAUCCGAGGAGAGAGGGCCGCGAAAGAGAGACCCGUGAGUUGAGAGAGAGAGAACGCGACUGAGAGAGCCGCUGUUGGCCUCCACUUCCGAACCAAAACUGAUGAUCCGCCGCCGCUCCUUGUCCACUUCGAGGCCAUGGUAGGUCCCCGUUCGGGCCGUCUUCGCUUUUCCCGAUUCGGGGUCGGCUUCCCGAGGAUCCCGGCUAGGAGACGAGCGAGGCGGACGGACGUAGCCCGAUCUAUCGAGCUCGUCCGCCGUCCGACGCCGCGAGCUGGGUAGGGACUCUCUGCCGACCGCCCUUUUUUGUGCCCAUGCCCUGUUUCGGGCUCGCCGGACUGGGCUGCUGCUUUCCGGUUCAUGCGAGUUUCCGGCCUUAUUUGUUGGCUGGAUCUUAUGGCUACAUGGCUCCUGAGUCAGCAGUAAAAGUAAUGAAGCUAGAUUAUGACGGG